rnacentral:piRNA from 1 species
UAUCUAUAAACAGUGUGGUGCUUAGCAAA